UUCAGCGCGAGCCUGCCAGGGUUUGGAGCAUUUGGGAGAGAGCGAGGAAGGAGAACGAGUGAUCUGCUGCGCGUGCAAAGGGGCAUCAUUUUCAUAAAGCCUCUGCACCACCUCCACUCCCCUACCCCACCCCCUACCCACACCCCGAGGCCGCGCAAGAAAGGGCCAGAGCCCCCCACCGCCACCAGGCAGAGGCCACACGACAAAGGACAACUGCCCACCCGAGCCGUGUAGAGAGACGAGCACACCCCGGAGUCCCUCCAGAGCUCCAGCAUCGGAGGGUUAAGAGUCGUCAAGAGGAGUGCAACAGCUGGCAGGACCCCCUCCUUCUCUUCUUUCUCCUCCCCAGCGCCGAUCCGUGCAACAGCUGGAGAGACCCAGUAGAGCCGCCGGCGCUGCGGUGCGCCUUUGUCUUGGGAGAGGAUUGAUUGUAUUCCUGGGAACUUUCUGCGGCGCUCCUUAUAUAUUUAUAUAUUCUCGCAUCUGAACGCUGAGUCUGAGAGGAGCUCCGCAGACUCGAGGAUCACGGAGCUGCAUAGCUAAACUUUUCACAGGUCUCGGCUGCCCGGGAGAGGGAGCCUCUCUCUGUAAACAAGCGCGCAUCCUGGAAUUACUGAGGGGAUUUGUCCGUGAGUGCCUUCCGGCGUGAUCCCGUUAUCCGUUGUACAGAUCUGCAGCGCGCACUCCGCCUCGGAGGAAGAUUGUCGGAGGCGGAGGGUCCAUUCCCGGUCCGUAGUCGACUCUGCUGCUUCUACUAGCCUUUGGAAUCUGGAAAGUGCCGGAAGGGCGAAGCGAUCGGAUUUAAUUCGUAUCUUUUUGGAGGGAAAAGACAUCAACAACAGCAGACUGUGGCAAUGCUAUCGAGUUGUUGGAUAUUAGUGGUGGCGGCAAUCCUGCCAGCCACCCAGACCCAGCUGGUCCAAAUGGACGAUCGCGUCUCUGGCAUGGUAGGCACAGACGUGCUACUCACCUGCAAAUACUCCAACCGCAACCCCAAUGUGAAGAUCACUCAGGUGACUUGGCAGAAGUUGCUGAACGGCACCAAAGUGAAUGUGGCCAUCGCCAAUCCCACCCUGGGUGUAUCCGUGUUGGAGUCCUUCAAGGAGAGGGUGAUGUUCCGCAAUCCAUUAGUGACCCAGGCCAAUCCGUCACUCGAGGACGCCAGCAUCUUCAUGAAGCAGCUCCAGCUCUCUGACGAGGCCACGUACAUCUGCGAGUAUGCCACCUUCCCAGCUGGCAACAGGGAGAACCAGGUCAACCUCACCGUGCUGGCUAGACCUACUAAUCAGGUGAUACUCACCUCGCCCACCAUCGUGGCCCAGUCCAGCCAGACCAGCAAGAUGAUAGUGGCCACCUGUAUCUCAUCUAAUGGCAAACCUCCAAGUGACAUCACCUGGGAGACCAAGCUGAGGGGAGAAGCCACGUUCCAUAAGAUCCCCAACCCCAAUGGCACGGUCACGGUGCGCAGUGACUACUGGGUGGUGCCCAGCCGGGAGAGCCAUCGGCAGAAACUGACCUGCAUCGUCAGCUACCAGGGCGAGAAGAUGAGGCAGCAGAGCGUGACGCUCAAUGUGCAGUAUGAACCUCAAGUGACCAUUGAAGGAUUUGAUGGAAACUGGUACCUGAACCGCCAGGACGUGCAGCUGACAUGUAAAUCAGACGCCAACCCGGCAGUCACAACCUAUCAAUGGAAGCUGCUGAACGGCUCAAUGCCCAACAACGUGGAGAUCCAGAACAACUCCCUCUUCUUCAAGGGGCCGGUGACCUAUGAACUGGCCGGCACCUACAUGUGUGAGGCCACCAACAGCGUCGGGAAGCGGUCCGAGCAAGUGGAGGUCAACGUCACAGACAAGCCCCUUCCCCAAGGAGCGCCAGGCGGAGUGAUAGGCAUCAUGGGAGGAGUGGUGGCAGCGGGUCUCAUCAUCGGCGUGGCCGUGACUGUCUUUGUGGUCUAUCGGCGUCAGCAGAAGACCCGGACAGAGACAGACAAUGAUCUCUGCACUGAUAAUUUUGUGGCAUCAGCGAAGACAGGGUCCCCCAAAAGGACUGACCUGCCGCCCGCCCACAAACCUGCUCCUCCUCCUCCAAAGAAGAAGACGACGACUGACAUGAAAACGCUGACCUCAGAUGACAUCCAGGUUGUGCAUCUAGACAAACCAGAAGAGGAAAUGCAGAAGCUUCCUCUUCAGCCACCUUAUUAUGACAUGGCGCCUUCCGACUCCACUCCCUACCCAGACAAGUUGAACAGUGGGAAGUGUUACCAAGAGCUACCAAACCCGGCUGACAAUGUGAACUCCCGUGAGGACCACCUCCUGGAGGCCCAGCCUCUUACUGCCUACCCUCCGCUGUCCUAUCUGCCCCAGAACCCCUACAGCCAACAUCCUCCCAGCAGCCCAGUGUACGGGUUCCCCCCAGCUGGCUCCCGAGCCCCUUUCAUCUGCCCUAAAGAACAAUACGUCUAAACGUCAGACACCUGCCAAGCACGCCACGCUGGGAGAUGCCACACGGGAUCGACACCAAGACCAAGUUUCAGAUGCUUCAGAGAGUUGACGGACCUGACCCAUGUGUGUCCCGCACUGCAUGUAAGCCCUGCCACCGUCCAGUACUGUGCUGACCUGCCACAUCUGAUGAGGAUGAUGAUGAUGAUGAAGAUGAUGUUGUCGAUGGCACCUCCUUCUCACUUUCCCCGUGACUCUUCCUUCGAUGGGCAGUGUGACAGCCACCUUCCUUACUUCUGACCCAAAUGUGUAGGUCGUGUCCCUGUGCACCACAGCGUCACACGCGUGUUCCUGUCCACCACUUUGUGGUGUGUUGUUUUAGAAAGGGCUAGUGGCUGAGUGCGUGCACCUGCGUGGAGAUUUGGAUUUUUCUUUUUUUUAAUGUUACCGCUUUCCUGUCCCAUGGUGGGCUGAGCUCCUCUCGUAGGGCAUCCCUCUCGAAUGACAAGCUUCCGCAUGCUGCCAAAUAGUGCGACCUGCCAGGCCAAACGGGGCAUUCAAAUUAGCAGGUAGAUAGAUCUCUGCAGUGGACUUCAGGAUGGACACCAGGGGUCAUUUGCAUUUAUCUGUCUAGUGCCAGGCAUUUCUCACUCCAAGUACAGAGCUUACAAACAAACAGCCGGCCAUAACCCAACCUCUCUGUUCAGCACUGGCACAGCUUCUGCUGGAAAUGAUGGGGGCUUCUCGAAUCUCCCAAGUGCUGCGCCAAUGCAUUAAUCAUAAAAGGCAAAGCCCCUCGAAGAGCUCCUGCGUCACAGGCCACACCACUAUGGACUUACUGGUCAGAAAUAGCAAUUCAUAAAGGCCCUCCACCUUGGCACCUUAGUACCAGCAUGUCCAUUCAGACUUCCCAGUUCAGUCCCUGGAAUGCUAGUUCUAAGCAAUUGGGAGCCCAUCACUCCCAAGAGACUAGUCCUGCGUAUGCCCAGUCCUUGAGUGUGCUAUUAGACUCAAUAAGACUUACAGUGACACUUCACAAUAAGCCCACCUACAGUAUGUUGACUAAUCAGUCACUACCAUGUCACAAGAGCUGGACUUCAUGGUCUUUAAAAAACUAAAGGAUCACCAAUGACUUGAGUAUAGGGGCUACCGCUGGUGCAUCUGCUAGUCACACACCACGAUACGCCGAGACCUCCACAGAAGCUCAAUGAGACUUACAGGGCACCAGUGACACUUCAGAAUGAAGCCACCCGCAGUACAUCAUCUAAUCGGUUACUCUCAUGUCACAAGGGCUGGAUUGUAGCUUGGUUUGGCCACUAGAAUUUAGGACCACCUUUAGAGCAGUUACUGCUAUACACCAAGACCUCCGCAGAGGACUUACAGAGUACCGAUGACACUAAGGCCACCUCGACUAAUCAGUCACUGCCAUGUCACAAGGGCUGAACUGAUGAUUUCUUUGGGCUUAAUAAGACUGAGAAAGCACCAGUGACCCCACUGGAAUUGGGGACCCUCUGUAGAGCCCCUCUAUUAGCCAGCUACUGCUAUACUACACGACCUUAGCGAAGGCUCCAUGUGACUUACCGAGCACCGAGGUCACCUACAGCACGUCGAUUACUGCCAGGAGCGGAGUUGAGACAGGAGUCUCCUCUGGUGCAGGUUAGCCCCCUCACCGCCUGGCACCAGGACGUUAACAAAGGUUCAAUAAGACUAACAGUGACACUUUAGAAUAAGACCACCUGCAGUAUGUUUAACAAGCUUAGCUAAGAAUGUGUUUGUCUUUAAUGAGACUGGCAAAGUGAUUUUGCCAUGGGGGGGGGGGGAGUUAACCCUGCUGUACCCAUUAGGCACUUGACUUGAUAAGACCUAGGGAGCGCCCACCUAUAGCACACAUCUGGAUCCUCAAGACCCUCACUCAGUAAAAUCAUUUCAGAUGCCGAUGCUUUCCAGUCUGAACCCUUGGACCCCCACAGUCAUGUCUGUUCCACACCAGUUCUGUCCAGUCUGAGCCCUUAAACAAUUUGCAGCCCACUCUUUCAGACAUCACAGCUGGUCUCUGACUCCCAUGGCGGCCCCUCUCUCUCCCUCACCAGUGCCACCCAAGUCUAAUCUCUCUGCCCCUCCUCAACACCAGCGAUGUCCAUUCUGAGCCCCUCACCACCCUCACCAGUGCUGUCCAGUUUGAACACUUGUGUUUCUCCCACGCCACCUUUCUCUAUCCACAUUUUGAGACGUUACUCCAAACCCACCGACUCCCACGCCAAUGAUGUCCAAUCUGAUCCUCCUGCCACUCACCCGCUCAUCAGCCCAAUCCCACCAGUGCUGUCAAGUAUAAGCGCCCCCCCCCCCCCCAGUCUCUUCCAGCUCAGGGCUGUCCAGUCUGCCCUACCUCCCUGCCACUGCCCAGUUUAGCCUUUGAGCCCACCAGUGGUCCCUGCCCACGCCAACUCUCAUGAUGCCAGAGCAGGCAUUCAGUAUCUCCACUUGCACUUGUGCCCCCGGUGCAGUGCCCACUUCUGCGGUUCCUGUGAUGUUGCAUGGUAAAGGCCCAUCCUCAGGCCUACCAGAGUGGCUGAGCCCCUCACACCCCUGAGUCACUUGGAUCCCUCCUUGUCCUGGCUCAGUCACCUCCUGAUCUCAUCAGUAGUUUUCUUUAUGGAUGAUGGUGGACAACAGACUGGCCAUUUCACCCAAGCUUCUCAAACAUUCCUACAAAAGGAGCCUGAAACGGACCACCCUUUGUAUGGCUUGUUACGCACGGCCACCUGAUCUCUAAAGGGAGCCCACCACCAGACUGCAGUCCCCUGAAAGGAGCCUGCUCUUCCUUCUAUUCCAUUCAAGCGGUCCAUCAGAAAAGCCCCUUUGUUAACCUGACCGUCACCUUGCCCAGGCAGUUGGUUGCCCCCCUUUCAUGUUUUGUUUUAGUGACCCCUUUGAUUCCUUUUGAUCGUUGGCUUCUUUUCUUGUGUUAGUGGUCAACAAUUUGGAUGUGCUGAGCUUUACAAAGUCACCUCUGUGCUGUUUGCCCACCUUGAAGAUGGUAACUGAAUGCCAUGUCAGAGAGUUUGUUCUUUCUUUCUCUCUCUUUCUUUCUUUCUUUCUUUCUUUGGCCCCCUUUUCUGCACCUCCGACUGAGCUGGUUCUAGAAGUCCUGCUGGAUUCUGAUAGACCAGGCACGGAGCCAACAUCAGCACGGUGUCGGGAAUGGCGCUUUACUGCCAGAGAUGGGGCCUGACUUGAACUCAGGUGAAAGACGUCCAAUGACUUCAGAGCCCGCCUUGGCCCCCUCAAACUUCCAUAACGUUCAACAGGUCACCAGCUCCAUAAAUAAUGGAUGGAAAAUGAAGUUUGCCGUUACUCCAAUGCCCAUUUUAAAGAGCACUUGACCAGCUCCGUUGAAGCUUAAUCAUGCCAUCCUCAUUCAGGAGUCUGUAUGGCAGUGCCAAAUGCUCGUUGGGUUUUCUGCUUGUUUUGUGAUUGUAAGGGGCUCGCACUAAGACUCCAUUGUGAGGUUUGUGUCAAUAGAAGACCUCACAGCUGGCACGUGGUAGCCCCUCAUUCAUGGCCUGUCAGGAUGGUGACUGCCGGUCGCUUUGAGAGGCGCUCUGGGCCUCAGCAUUCAUAGCCGCAAAAGAGACAUACGGCUCACUUGUACCCUCUAGUGGUGACUUGGAGAAAUCCGCAGUCUGACUGCUUCCACAGGUCAGAGGAACAUCUUACUGGAUGAAAUGGGUUGGACAACAAAGGGCAUUGACUGUGCUGUUUAUUUCUGGGCAUAACCCAGUGCCACCCUGAAUCGCCUGAAGCACCACCUGCAAGCCCAACUCUACACCAGCAUGCCAGCGAAGAUCCAUCCUGAGUCACGAAAGCCAGCAGAGUGGGCACAGAUUGAGGGUGAGUGCAAUAAACCAGUACAAGAAGUCCGGAUUAAAUGACCAUCAAGGAAAUCGUGUGCCAGCUUGAAGUACAUCACCCAGUAAAGGGUGUCAUGAUCCACCCUGAGUCAUGAAAGCCAGCAGAAUAAGCACUGAGGGUGAAUGAAAUAAACCAGUACAAGAAGGCAACACCAGUACAAACCAGUUAAAGAAGCUUACUCCAUCUGGAUCUUCAUGAACUAAUAUGCCAGCAAAGAUCCAUCCUGAGUCAUGAAAGCCAGCAGAAUGGGCACCAAGGGUGAGUGAAAUAAACCAGUACAAGAAGGCAACACCAGUACAAACCAGUUAAAGAAGCUUACACCAUCUGGAUCUUCAUGAACUAAUAUGCCAGCAAAGAUCCAUCCUGAGUCAUGAAAGCCAGCAGAGUGGGCACCAAGGGUGAGUGAAAUAAACCAGUAAAAGAAAUCCAUACUAAAUGACCAUCAAGGAAAUUGUGUGCCAGCUUGAAUUACAUAAUCCAGCAAAAGGUGCCAAGAUCCAUCCGAAGUUAUGAAAACCAGCAGAGUGAGCACAGAUAAAGGAUGACUUGUGCCAGCUUGAAGUACAUAAACUACUAAAGGGGUGCCAAGGUCCAACCUGAGUGAUAAAAUCCUAUCGGUGUGGGCACAUGAACCUGUAGAAGGAGUUCAGAUCCAUCCACAUCAGCAAAAGAAGAUGCCAUCAGGAAUGCCAUACACCAGUAUGUCAGCAGAGAUCCAUUCUAAGCCAUGUAACCCAGCAGAGUGGGCACAGAUCAAGGCUGAGUAUAAUGAACCAGUACAAGGAGUCCAGGCUAUAUGAUCAUGAAGGAAAGCUUGUGCCAGCCUGAAGUACAUAAGCCAGUAAAGGGUGCCAAGAUCCAUCCUAAAUCAUGACAAUCAGCAGAGUGGGCAAAAAUUGAGGAUGAGUGAAAUUAACCAGUACAAGGAGCCCAGACCAAUGUACUCAUCAAAGAAAGCGUGCCAGCUUGAGCUAUAUAAGCCACUAAAGGAUGCCAAGGUCCAUCCUGAGCCAUGAAAAUCAGCAGAAUGAGAGCAGAUCAAGGGUGAGUGAAAUGAACCAGUACAAGAAAUCCACACCCAUACAAAUCAAGAACAAAUGUUUGUGCCAGCUGGAGCUUCAUAAAUUGGUAUGGCAGAAAAGAUCCAUUUGAGCCACAUAAACCAGUAAAGUGGGCACAGAUCGAGUGGGAGUUACAAAUCCACCUAUCUUAUGUCAGCCUGAAUGACAUAAACCAGGAAAGGGUGCCAGGAGUGUGGGUACACAAACCAGUACAAGAAGUCCAUAUCCAUGCAAAUGAUGAAAAGGUUACGCUACAGUGGGCACAGAUGAAGGAUAAGUUACAUAAUCCAGUACACGAAGUCCAUACCCAUGCGAUCAUCCAAUGAAAGCUUAUACCAGUCUGAACAACAUACACCAGUAAAGACUGGCAUGAGCCACCCUGAGUCAUUAAAGCCAGCUGAGUGAGCAAAGAUUGAGGGGUAAUGAAAUAAACCAGCACAAGAAAUCCACAACCAUACCACUCAGUGCCAUCUUGAGCUUCAUUAAAUCAGUAAAGAGCCAUCGUGAGUCAUAAUAACCAGCAUUAUGGGCACAUAAACCAGCACAAGAAAUCCACAACCAUGCCACUCAGUGCCAUCUUGAGCUUCAUUAAACCAGUAAAGAGCCAUCCUGAAUCAUAAUAACCAGCAUUGUAAGCACAUAAACCAGUACAAGGACCCCACAUUUGUACAAAUCAGGAGUGAAAUGUAUGCCCUCCAUUAUGCCUGCAGCAGAGCCAUUCUGAGCCAUAUAAAAUAGCACAGAGGGCACAGAUCCAGUGGGAGUUACACAUCCAGCACAAUCAUCAAGGAAAACACAUGCCAACCUGAAGUACAAAAACAUGGAAAUGGUGCCAAAAUCCAUACUGAGCCAUAAAAAUCCAGUAGAGUAGGCAAAGUUUGAGGGUGAGUGAAAUAAACCAGUACAAGGAGUCCAGAGCUAUCCCAAUCAAUUAAAGGAGCCUGUGCCAGCUAAAGCUUCAUACACCAAUAUGCCAGCGAAGAUCCAUUCUGAGCCAACAACCAGCCCACUGGGCACAGAUCCAGUGUAAAUUAUAUAAUCCAGUGCAAGGUAUCCAGACGCAUGCAGUCAGCAAAGGAAGCCUAUGCCAGUCUGAACAAUAUCAACCAGCAAAGGGUGCCAAGAUCCCUCCUGAGCCAUAUAAAUCAGCAUGUCAAGCUCGAAUCCAUUUUGAUCCAUUUAAAUCUGCAGAGUGGGCACAGUAGAUCCGCUGUGCGCUAAGAAAUAACGCUCCUAUAAAUAAAGGAAUGAAACAUAUGCCAGGCUAAACAGCAUAAAAGAUCAAUAAAAGGGGCACAGGUCCAUCCUGAGACACACAAGCCAGUAGAGUUAGGGCAUUGAGCCGUUUACAUCACAACAGGGAGCCCACACACCAGUACAGAAAACCAGAGCCACCACGUGAAGUUUAAACUGGACACAGCGCUUAGCUUUCGCUUAAACUCACUUACUGUGUAGUACUGGGGGCACUGAAUCCCCUCAUCUCUGACAAUCAGGGCUGUUUUUUUUUAAGGAAUUAACUUUUCUUUUUCCUGUUUUUUUUUUUAUGCAAGCUGGCACCUAGGGUGGCAUUCCGCUCACAGACCCUGCCUCGGCCGGCUCGUACAGAGCUGGGAGGUUCGCCUGAACGCCCCGCAGUAACAAGCGACUUGAUUAGCUCAGCGUGGCAUGAUAUGAAUAAUUAGCGUGGCUUUCUUUUUGUUUUAUUCAUGAACUCAAGUUUCUGUUCUCCGCUCUGUGUGCGCGCGCUUGUGUGUGUGCGUGUGUGUGUGUGUGAGAGAGAGAAAGAAAGAAAGAAAGAGAUUUUCACUGACUAUCAACUGAGCCAUUUAAAUCUUUAACAAGGAAGAGUAAGUAAAUGUCAAUAAAUUGUUGAAAUAAAA